rnacentral:rRNA from 1 species
GAUGAACGCUAGCGGCAGGCUUAACACAUGCAAGUCGAGGGGUAUUGGUUUUUGGACCAAGAGACCGGCGCACGGGUGCGUAACGCGUAUGCAAUCUACCUUUUGCAGAGGGAUAGCCCAGAGAAAUUUGGAUUAAUACCUCAUAGUAUAUAGAGUUGGCAUCAACAUUAUAUUAAAGUCACAACGGCAAAAGAUGAGCAUGCGUCCCAUUAGCUAGUUGGUAAGGUAACGGCUUACCAAGGCGACGAUGGGUAGGGGUCCUGAGAGGGAGAUCCCCCACACUGGUACUGAGACACGGACCAGACUCCUACGGGAGGCAGCAGUGAGGAAUAUUGGACAAUGGGCGCAAGCCUGAUCCAGCCAUGCCGCGUGCAGGAUGACGGUCCUAUGGAUUGUAAACUGCUUUUGUACAGGAAGAAACACUCCCUCGUGAGGGAGCUUGACGGUACUGUAAGAAUAAGGAUCGGCUAACUCCGUGCCAGCAGCCGCGG